GUACUCGCUUCGAUAGUACAUAUACUAAAAUUGGAACGAUACAGAGAAGAUUAUCAUGGCCCCUGCGCAAGGAUGACACGCAAAAAUCUUAUAACGGCUUUUU